GCGGGACGACCAUUACGUGGGUGGUCGCGGGCUCGGUGAGGAGGGCCGCCGGUGUCUCGGCGUGCGCCUGGGCGGAGGGCAGGCUAAUCCACUCUCGGCUGCCGGGCCAGCGGUGCAGGGACGGUUGGGCGGGGCGGGGGUCGCAGGCCCCAGGCACGGGCGGCCGGGGUGGUGUGCGCCUCAGCCCCAGCCCGGGCUCCAGGCUGAAUUCCGCUCGGUGAGAUUAGCCGCACGCUCCGUGUCCGAGGCUCUUGGCCGGUGAGAUGAAAGAUUUUCAAGGUAUAGCGGAAGCAUCAUUGCCAAGCUUUUUAACCAAUUCAGUACUUGGUAAUAGUGGGAUUUGGGAUGUGUCACUCUGUCUUCAAAUCUUGGCUUGCCUGUUGCUGUUUCCACACUUGCUAGAGAUAGGUCCAGCACUGAUAAUAGGUGUUCUGGUGUCCAGGCAUCUUACUUAGCAGAAGGGAAGUUUUCAGUUCCAUCUGAGUCAUCUCCUGGUAGCCAGAGUGAUGUUGAACCGAGAGAGAGACUGCAGUUUAGCUUCCAUGAUGAAGAGAAAAAGGACUAUAUGAAAAGUCAACAUUUGUCACAUGCUCUCAUGAAACAGUUAGCUUUUCAAAGUGAUGUAGCAAGAACCGAAGAGGAGCGAGCUAAAACUACAGGAUCCUUCCAGUGCCAAGAUCUUUUUGAUAGGGUUUUGCCACUGGACCAAAUACAAGACUCACCUGUUGAUUUUUGUUUACUAUCAUGGAUGAAUAAUAAGGAACACAAGAUUGUUGUGCCCGAUACUGGAAAACAUUUUGAAGACAAGACUCCAAACAGUGACUUAAGCCAUGCUAGCUUAUUAGAAAAUGAGAAACUUAUGUCAUUGACAAGCUUGGAAGAUUCUUCUGAUGAUGAUAUUGAUGAUGAAAUGUUUUAUGAUGAUCAUUUGGAGGCUUAUUUUGAACAGCUGGCAAUUCCGGGAAUGAUAUAUGAAGACCUAGGAGGACAGGAACCUCCAGAAGAAGAUUUUAAGUUACUUACAAGUGAUCCUAGUCAGCCAUCAUUUGGUUAUUUUAUUAGAUCACCAGAGAAGAGAGAACCUAUUGCUUUAAUAAGAAAAUCUGAUGUGUCAAGGAGUAAUUUGGAAAAAGGAAUGGCUCAUUUUACCCAUGAUCAGUUUUCAGGAGAUUUAAAUGAACAAUCCCCGGCACAACUAAACGAAGGAUCAAUUACACUUCAGGUUGAAGCACUGGAGAGUAAUUCACAAGUGGAUGAAAAUGAUGUGACGUUAACUGCCGAUAAAGGGAAAACAGAGGACACUUUCUUCAUGAAAAACAAACUCCGUAGAUGCAAAGACAAGCUGCCUGAUAGCGGUGAUUCUGUGCUGAGUAUAAGCACCAUUGCUUCAGCCAUUGCAGAUGCCUCAGUUAGUUCUGAUCCUUCUCAGCUUGCUGCCAUGAUCAAGGCACUUUCAAAUAAAACCAGCGAUAAGGCUUUUCAGGAAGAUGAUAAACAGAAGGACUGUUCCAAUAUGUCUCAUUUCUUACCUAAUGAUUUAGAAAAAAGUAAUGGAUCCAGUGCAUUUGAUAUGGAGAAAUACCUUUAAAAAAGAGAGGUUAGUAGAUGUGAAGGUGGACUGGAAAACUUUUCAAGAUGUAGUAUGUCUGAUAUUUUGGAUUCAUCUUUGCCAAAAGAACAAAUUAAAGACAUCCAUACAGUGGACUUAGGUGCUACUGAUAUAAGUGUAAGGGACCAAAAGAAAACAUAGCAGCUAUUUUUUGUGGUGAAAAUGGAGAGAGUGAGAACCAGGAAUCAUUUAGAACUGCAUACUCUUCAAGUUCAGUGCUGACAAAUAUAAGAGACAAUGAGAGUGCAGCAGUUGAUUUGAAAACAAAUUCCAUUGACAACAAAUUACCAGAUAUUGGUAACAGUGAAAAAGCUACCUCAGUUUCCACUCCCACAGCUAAAACGUAUUCAUCAGUAAGGAACCCCAGAACAACAUCCCUUUGGCUGUCAGAGGAGUGUGAAGAAAUACAAGAUGAUAGAAUCAGAACAGAAAUGAGUAUGUUAGUGAAACAAGCAACAGUGAAAAGCAUGUGACUUUUGAAAAACAUUGUGUAGUCUCACCUAAAAAUACUGGUAAGUGUCUGAGUAAUUGAUCACAUUCACAAAAUUAUGCAGAACUUUUUUCUGUUCUCAUUGGAAAAUACACCUAUCUGAUAUGAAAAACGCCUCUGCUGAGCAUGGUGGACAUGACAAAGAGGAGGACCAUGAAAGAUUCAGACCUUCCACUUCACCACUUAGUCACUCUUCUCCCAGUGACAUUUCUGGAACAAGUUUAUCAGGGUAUUGAACCCUGGACCUUGGUGUUAUCAGCACUAACUGAGCUAGCUCUCAACUGAGCCAGCCUUCAACAGCAUGAUUUUAAAAGACUGCAUAGUGUUUUAUUGUGUGCUGUAGAGUCUUUUGGUUCAACAGCACAUCAUCAGAAACCCCCCUGUGAAAGUGAGUUGUCUCAGUUGACAUAUACACGUGCUAGUGUGAGCAGGCUGACCUAUGUGUCUGAACAAGAGAGCACCUAUCCUACCACAGCUACAGGUUAUGACCUAGAGGACCAUAAGAGUGAUAUCACCAGUGAGUUGAGCACCACGAUUAUUCAAGCCAGUCCAGCUCCAUCAGAGGAACAGGCUGGAUUCCACAGUCCUCCGUGGCCGCUUGUGCAGAAACAGCAGGUGGGAAAACCAGCUGGUUGCUGAUUCUGCUUCUCUGAAGCCCGUGAGCAUUCUGGGCCCCUCUCCUGAAGCAGACGCAAAGCCCUGGGGUGCCAUCUGCUUCCAGGGAUGCCAAGGCCAUCAUUCCACAGAAGCUCAUACAGCAAGCCUUGGUCAGCAGCACGCGAGGGCUUCUCUCCUGAAAUCAGCUUUUCUUUUUUUCAGAGUUUAUUGUAUAAAACAAAUGCAGAUUUUUUUCUUUUUUUGUGCACAGCAAAAUGUUACCAUAACUUUCACUCUAAAUAAGAAGUGAGAGCUGCCCACAUUGACAGUUCAAUUUCUGCAGUGACCAGUUUCUCUCGGUGUAAUUUAUUUCAGUAUAAAUAACAUCACAUCUCAAUCUCAUGGUGUGCUCCCAGGCCAUGCUGCUGUGAGUUAAAAUCUCCUCAGAUGGUGGAGUAGAGGCCGAGGGACUGCCUGGCUCAGUUCUUUCAGUGUGGCCGGAGCCUCCCAUCCCAUGAGACGUAGGAAACCACAGAAUUUAGGGCCCCCCUUCUCUGGCUUUCUCCUUUCCAGGAUUUCUGGGCUGUCCAAGUCGUGUUCUUUGGUUCUUCAAGGCAACAAAGCUGCAUGUUUUCUAUUCGAAUUCCUGCUGCCCCUGCUGGCAGGGUUGGGCUGGUCUCCGGGCUAAAAGCAUCAGAAAGCAAGAUGCUUCCAUUCCGCGUCGCCUUCAGAUGUCACUCCCUUCAGGGUGGCACCUCCUGAGCUUCAUGGCCGUUGCCUGCAGGAGGAAGUGCUGGGUGGCCCUGUGGGUCACAGCACCAUGGGUGCCCAGCUGCAGCCAGGGCCUUGUGGCCCCUGGAAAGUGAGACUGUCUGUGAAAUGCUCCCCUUAUCCUGCAGGAGGAGGAGUGUUCCAACUAGAGCCUCUGAGGUAACAUCACUUCAUGUGUGAAAUUUAUUUUUUUCUCCAUAUUCAUCCCAUGGGACUGCUUUGCUCUCUGUGGCCCCCUCUCUCCUCUGCCUGGACCUCAGCCUCAUGUGUGGAGAGCGCUUUCCCUCUUAUACUUUGACUUGAAUGAUCUUUAUUAGGCAUUUGAAGUUUCUCUGUGAAAAAGCUGGGCAGACUUUAUGGCGACUUUUUAGAGCUGAGAGAACAGAGGCCCUGAGAGUCUGAGGGAUCAACUGGGGGUGAGGGCUGAGGGCCCCAGGAGGUGGGCUUUUGUCCCAAGCAUUGAUGUUAAAAGACAGUUUCUGAGUCUUUUUUAGAAGUGUAAAUGGUAUUUUAUCAAAAUACAGCUCUUUCAGAAAAUUAGUAAGUUGUUUGGACUUUUGAACAGGGUAUUUUCAAGUUGUAUAAAUCUGUACCAAGGCACCAUGGAGUCUCGCUUGGUACUGGUGGUGCGUUGCACAUGGCAGGUGACUUUAUCAUAGCUCAAGUGAGAGGUGGACAAUUGUGUCCAACAUCUGAGCAGCACGAACUGGUCAGCAGUGUUGCUGGUGAAUUGAAAGAAUUACUGCAGCUCAGGGAUCUUUGAAAACAAACCACCAACAGGGGAAACCGCUCCAGGUUACCAGGACAAGCCUAGGGAGAGGGCACCUGGCCACUAGUCCACAUGCCAGAUAAGCCAAGGAAGCACCCUGUGCCCGUUGUGCUUCAGAGGUGUUCACAAACGGGGCACAGUCGACAUCACAACCUACACUUCAAAUAAAUGUGUCAAUAUGUAUA